rnacentral:rRNA from 1 species
CUCGUAGGCGGUUCGGUAAGUCGGGUGUGAAAACUCUGGGCUCAACCCAGAGCCGCCACCCGAUACUGCUGUGACUCGAGUGCGGUAGGGGAGCGGGGAAUUCCUGGUGUAGCGGUGAAAUGCGCAGAUAUCAGGAGGAACACCAGUGGCGAAGGCGCCGCUCUGGGCCGUGACUGACGCUGAGGAGCGAAAGCGUGGUAGCAAACA